rnacentral:rRNA from 1 species
UACGGAGGGGGUUAGCGUUGUUCGGAAUGACUGGGCGUAAAGCGCGCGUAGGCGGAUCGGAAAGUCGGGGGUGAAAUCCCGGGGCUCAACCCCGGAAUGGCCUUCGAAACUCCCGGUCUUGAGUUCGAGAGAGGUGAGUGGAAUUCCGAGUGUAGAGGUGAAAUUCGUAGAUAUUCGGAGGAACACCAGUGGCGAAAGGCGGCUCACUGG